UAGGGAAUCUUCGGCAAUGGGGGGAACCCUGACCGAGCAACGCCGCGUGAGUGAAGAAGGAUUUCGGAUCGUAAAGCUCUGUUGUUAAGGAAGAAUGAGCGUGAGAAUGGAAAGUUCAUGCUGUGACGGUACUUAACCAGAAAGGGACGGCUAACUACGUGCCAGCAGCCGCGGUAAUACGUAGGUACCGAGCGUUGUCCGGAUUUAUUGGGCGUAAAGCGAGCGCAGGCGGUUAGAAAAGUCUGAAGUGAAAGGCAGUUGCUCAACCAUUGUAGGCUUUGGAAACUGUUUAACUUGAGGGCAGAAGGGGAGAGUGGAAUUCCAGGUGUAGCGGUGAAAUGCGAAGAUAUAUGGAGUAACACCGGUGGCGAAAGCGGCACUCUGGUCUAUAACUGACGCUGAGGCUCGAAAGCGUGGGGAGCGAACAGG
rnacentral:rRNA from 1 species